CUCUAUUACCCAUAUCCGAAACUGGUACAAAAUAUGUGUCUCGGCCUUUUUACGGAACAAUAUAUGUAUGAGCUUGCGCAUUGAUAGUGUCAAAGUAUGUAGCGAUGAUGAUUGGACAAAGUAAAGCCUCUAAGUGAACUUGGAAAAAUUACAAAACAAUGGGUGAACAACCAUUGAGGUGACAAUUAAUCGAAACACGGGGUACUUUAGAUAGGAGCUGCGUUAAAUAAAUGAUAUGAUGUGAUUAAACCAUGAUUCAACAGAUCUCAUAUCAACAGAACCAACAUGUCUAUGUGCCAUUUCAUCUUUGUAUAGUCCUAUUGUCAAGUAAGUAAUUAAGUCUAAGGAAACAUAUCUCCAAUGAAAGAAAUAUAGGAAAAUAUAUCUCCAAGGAAACUAUCAACCACAACCCCUAUGAGGAAAAUACAUGAAGGUAUAAUGAUAAGAUAUUCAUCUUAAACUCGUUGUAUGCAUUAAUUCAACAUGGAUGGCUAAGCAACACGAUGAACCACCUAGUAUUUUCGGGACGACGUUCAGAAACAAAGAACAAGAUCUCGAAGAGAUUUUAGUACUUCUUCCACCCAUCAAAGUACAUCGCAAUUACAAUUGUAGCUCGUCCACAUCAUUGGAAGGAUCAAAUCACCCAGGUUGCAAAACACACACCAAGGAUCAAAAACAUUAUCCUGCAGGUCUAAACAAUCUACAAGAAAACAUUUUUUAUGAUCUUGUACAAAUCCAAUUAGAGUUUAGAAUUUUAGAAGUUAUUGUUUCUUGCUAGCUUGCGUAUAUACCACUUUGUUUGCUAUGUGCAUGAGUGAAGUUUCUAGGAACAUGUUGUCCGAUUCAGAUCAUUUUACAUGGUGUAUGCUAAUUAAUGAUAAAAAUGUGCAAUGCACGUGAGACGAUUAGCAUCUUUCAUACUCUAAUUUCUGCUAUAACUCUUAGAUCCAACUUGUCAUUGAACUGAUUUUGUUUACAACAUGGGUUCAACAUAUGAGAACGAGUGAAGAAUCUGUAUUAUUAUAUGUAUUAAAUAUUUGCGUCUCAUAAAUCUAAAUAUGUAUGUGCACUUGGAAACAAUCAGCAGAACUUGGAAAAAGUAUCAAUUUCCAGAUUAACUUCUGCUCGGAGGUAAAUGUAGCAGAGUAGUAAAAUAAUUUCAGAGCAACUAAAGGUAUCCAAUAUAAAGAAGGAUUGUUACUGAAACUUAACCCUUGUUAAUUAGCAAAGGAUGGUACAUGUAGGUUUAGUUUCGAGAUUAACUUCUAUUUGAGGUAAAUGCGGUAGAGUAUGGCGUAAAAGAACUUCAGAGCUACUGAUGAUCUCCAAGUAAAAGAAGGAUGGUUGCUGAAAUUUUACCCUUGUUCAUUAGCAAUAGACAGUAUGAGAACAUAACAAUGCAUGCUAUAAUUUGGCUGCAAUAGUUAAGGAGAAAAUUAAGUGUUCUAUAGAGUAAGGACAAAUCAUUAGUAUUCUAGACAGAAGAAACAAGUCUUUAUUCUUUUGUACUAGAAGGGAACUCGAGUCGAGAAGCUGCCACAUUUACUUGGAGAUUUAGCAAACAUAUCACCCGAAUAUAACCACAUAUGUGUUUAGUUUCUGCGCUGAACGGUUUAGCAAACAAAAAGAAAGAGGAAGGAGGUGCUUAAGAACGAUAGGAAUGAGAGGCAUUGGGAAAUACCAAGCAGGAUUUAUAACUCAACACAAGAGGUGAAGAACCGAUUAGUUUUUCCUCUAUGUUCUCAUUCCCAUUGCUCUUAGGCCCUCUCUUUCUUCCUCUUCCUAGCACGCGUUUGAGAUUUCACAUCGAACAUAUGCACACAUAUAUUUGGUUUAUAACCUAAAUCAACCAAGCAAGCCCAAAAAUGAAGAGGAAGGAGUGCUUUAGAACAAUAGGAAUGGGAGGCAUCGGAAAACACCAAACAAAAUUAUCACUUCCAACACUAGAAGCAAAAAACCAAGGAAGUUAGGUUUUCCUCCAUGUUCCCGUUCCCACUACUCUAAGGCCCUCUAUUCUUCCUCUUAUGGGCUCUCUUUUGAGGUGUCAUUUAUCAAAAUAAAUAGACAUAUGUCUAUGGUUUCUCCAUCAGAGCUAUUGCGUAAGCCAAAAGGAAGAGGAAGGAGUGCACAAGAAUAGUAGGAAUGGGAGGCAUCAGGAAAGGAUUCAUGCCGAAUAUUUGCACCUCCAAAAGUAGUGGUGCAAACAAACAAGGAGGUCUUUCCUCCAUGUUCCCAUUCCUAUUGCUCUUGAACUCUCUCUUUCUUCCUCUUCCCGGCUUGCUCUAAGUGCCUACACAUCUAACAAUACAAAAACUCUUGAAGAACAAGCUUGAAUUACUGGACACAUUGUUUCAACUUUGUGGUAUAAAUAAUGCGCGGUGCACCAUAUGCAGAACCUUUCGGAAGUGAGCAAUGAUGACACCCAGUGCAUGGAGGCACCAUUCUACAAUCAAUGAUAAUGGCACCACAUAAUCACCAACCAUGUCCUAUUGUACUAUACCCUUAAGUAAAUGCACAUGGCUAAAUAUCUCUUUUGCUUACCUCUAUUACCCAUAUCCGAAACUGGUAUAAAAUAUGUGUGUCGGCCUUUUUACGGAACAAUAUAUGUAUGAGCUUGCGCAUUGAUAGUGUCAAAGUAUGUAGCAAUGAUGAUUGGACAAAGUAAAGCCUCUAAGUGAACUUGGAAAAAUUACAACACAAUGGGUGCACAACCACUGAGGUGACAAUUAAUCGGAACACGGGGUACUUUAGAUAGGAGCUGCGUUAUAUAGAUGAUAUGAUGUGAUUAAACCAUGAUUCAAGAGAUCUCAUAUAAGCAAAACCAACAUGUCUAUGUGCCAUUUCAUCUCUGUAUAUUCGUAUUGUCGAGUAAGUAAUUAAGUCUAACGAAACAUAUGUCCAAUGAUAGAAAUAUAGGAAAACAUAUAUCCAAGGAAACUAUCAACCACAACCCCUAUGAGGAAAAUACAUGAAGGUGUAAUGAUAAGAUAUUCAUCUUAAACUCGUUGUACACAUUAAUUCAACAUGGAUGGCCUAAGCAACACGAUGAACCACCUAGUAUUUCCGGGACGAUGUUCAGAAACAAAGAACAAGAUCUCGAAGAGAUUUUAGUACUUCUUCCACCCAUCAAAGUACAGCGCAAUUACAAUUGUAGCUCGUCCACAUCAUUGGAAGGAUCAAAUCACCCAGGUUGCAAUGCAAACACACACCAAGGAUCAAAAACCUUAUCCUGCAGGUCUAAACAAUCUACAAGAAAACAUUUUUUAUGAUCUUGUACAAAUUCAAUUAGAGUUUACAAUUUUAGAAGUUGUUGUUUCUUGCCAGCUUGCGUAUAUACCAGUUUGUUUGCUAUGUGAAUGAGUGAAGUUUCUAGGAACAGUUUGUCCGAUUCAGAUCAUUUUACAGGGUGAAUGCUAAUUGAUGCUAAAAAUGUGCAAUGCAUGUACUGCUACAUGAUUUGUGAGACGAUUAGCAUCUUUCAUACUCUAAUUUCUGCUAUAACUCUUAGCUCCAACUUGU
rnacentral:lncRNA from 1 species